GAGGACGCUGGUUCGAUUUCACCCCGGGGCACUGGAGGCCUUGGUCCUUUUUAGGGUUCCGUAGCCAAAUGGCAAAAAACGGAACCCUUAUGGAUUCGUCAUGUCUGUCCGUCUGUAUGUCUGUCUGUCCGUGUAUGUCACAGCCACAUUUUUCGGAAACUAUAAUAACUAUACUGUUGAAACUUGGUAAGUAGAUGUAUUAUGUGAACCGCAUUAAGAUUUUCAUACAAAAAUACAAAAAAAAACAAUACAUUUUGGGGGUUCCCCAUACUUAGAACUGAAACUCAAUUUUUUUUUUCAUCAGACCCAUACAUGUGGGUUGUCUAUAUAUAGGUCUUCAAAACUGAUAUUGAGGUUUCUAAUAUCAUUUUCUUCUAAACUGAAUAGUUUGCGCGAGAGACACUUCCAAAGUGGUAAAAUGUGUCUCCACCCCCCCCCCCCCCCCCCGUAACUUCUAAAAUAACAGAAUGAUAAAACUAAAA